rnacentral:rRNA from 1 species
AAAAUGACUCUCGGCAACGGAUAUCUCGGCUCUCGCAUCGAUGAAGAACGUAGCGAAAUGCGAUACUUGGUGUGAAUUGCAGAAUCCCGUGAACCAUCGAGUCUUUGAACGCAAGUUGCGCCCCAAGCCUUCGGGCCGAGGGCACGUCUGCCUGGGUGUCACGCAUCGUAGCCCCC